ACGUAGGGGGCGAGCGUUAUCCGGAAUUACUGGGCGUAAAGGGCGCGUAGGCGGCUGUCUAAGUCGGGAGUGAAAGUCCUGCGCUCAAGGCUGGAAUUGCUUUGGAGACUGACUGGCUUGAGUGCUGAAGAGGUAAGUGGAAUUCCCAGUGUAGUGGUGAAAUGCGUAGAGAUCGGGAGGAACACCAGCGGCGCAGGCGACUUACUGGGCAGUAUCUGACGUUGAAGCGCGAAAGCGUGGGGAGCGAACAG
rnacentral:rRNA from 1 species